UUUAUGUUAACGUGCAGAUCAACAAGAAACACAAUACUGCCGUGUGAAAGGAGCUGGACAAAUUUCUGGAACGUCAUACAGAGAGUGAGGCAGAAAUCACCUGAUGUGGAAGUUUUGCACAUUGGCAUUCCUGUAGGGGGCAGUCUUCCUCUGACACCACAGCAGCAAGCCCUCCUUAGCAGAGGUCUCUGUGAGGAACACUUUCACUGACUACACAAAAUAUGAAGCUGAAUCUCUGACCUUACCCUUCAAUUUAAAGGUAUGCUCAAAUGACCUAAUUCAUGAAACUUGAAUAAAUAUAUGAGUAAACGUGCUUGUAAAAUGGAACUGUGGAUUCACAUAAACCUUGAUUACUCCAUAAACCUCAGAUUUGGUAUUUAAAGGUGUGCAGGUUAAUGAAUUCCAACCAUUUGUAAAUAGGGCAUAUGUGAACUAAAUGCAUCACAAAGCUUAAUUUUGCUACCAUAAACUUUUCACAUUUAACUAAUUAAUAAUUAUAUAUUUUUAUGGUAUUUAGUGUUAUAUAGGCCUGUGUCUAAAAGAACAUGUUUGGAUGUUUUAUGCACCAUUUCUGUGUUUUUUUAUUCCUGGUCCUAGGGACCCACCACUCUGCACUCUGCAUUUCGUACGUGCCUCUUAUUUAAAUAAGGGAGACACACAAAAUGUGUGGAGCUGAUGGUUGGUCCCCAGAACCACUGGUCUAUACUAAUAACUAAACACAAAUGGCUUCUACAGUGGCACUGGUUAGAAAAAAAACAGCUUUUUUGUGAUGCUUCAUCUACGCCACUAGUUGUCAAUAAAAGUUAAAGUCAGUUUUCACAGCUGACUAAAUUAAGCCUCGCCUUCAGCACUGAUGGAGACCAGUUUCACUCCCUUGCAGCUGAUAAAAUCCAGUGCCUUGUUUAAAUUGGUGAUCUUGUGGAAACCUAUUUUGACUUUGUCUGAAUCUCUCAUCGGACACAAAAAAUCAUAUCAUAAAGAUAUAUAUUAAUUGUAUUCUGUAUUCUAUCCUGUCAUUUGCAUGAGAAUCAAUAAAAUUGUUAAUCUCAAAAAAAAAGAUAUAUAUUGUAUAGAAAUAUUCCAAUUGCUUCAUGCAGGACUGUUAAUGAGGGAAGUGUACAGUAAUAAUGGCCACAUUAUUUUUACAUGAGCUGCAUUUGGGAACCUGAUGCAUGAUGCAGAAUAAUCUCACAUAGGCUAAUAGUAGGCAUAUACUAACAAACAAUGACACAAUGUAAGUAAGAGAAUUCAUUAUGCAGUAUAGACAAUUUUAUUGAUUUUUCUUGAAUGUUGUGAGAUCGUGAACUGAGAUGUGUGACAGGUUUUUGGUGAUUGUAAAGUGAGCAGUCUUUCGCACUUUCGAGGCUAUAAUAACUCGUUGAAUAAAAGUAUUGUUUUUCAUACUGCCAAGAGAACUGAUGGUCAAUUACACACUGGAAAGUUUUGGAAGUAGCCUCUACAAAUACAUGAUUUCUCACUCUGAAGUUGCGAUGGACAUAGUGAUAGGCUAGUGCGGGACAAAAACAUGGCAUGUCAAAAUCGGUACGCCCAAUGUAAAUGCAGACCAAUAGAUUACUAAAAUUUGUAUCAAUAUAUAUUUUUAAACUCUAUUCCAAUUGUUUGUAAAAGUUGUAAAUAAUCUUAAAUUUCUCACUGUACAUUGCUAUUCUACUAAUUCAACCAUUGCUUGCACAUUUCAUCUGUACUUUAUUAGAAAACCCUCACAAUUUCAGAUACUCAGUGAGUUCAUUCUUAAUUGUCCAUCUCACAGUAAAAUUAAAAUGUUAAGCUUUAGUACGUGAAUCUCAAGUUCAAGUAAAUGCUUAUUUGUUCAUCUGACAGUAAAAUUAAAAAGUGAACAUUUAAUAAACUCCUAGGCUACUGUAGCUAAAUUUCAGGUAAAUGUUCAUGUCCAUUUGACUAGUAAAAUUAUUUAUGAUUCUGCAAAUCUAUUCA
rnacentral:lncRNA from 1 species